GGUCGGAUGGUGUAGUUGGUUAUCACGUGUCCUUAACAAAUUCAAUUUCGUUUAUUUGUUGAAUCCGGACAAGGUCCUGAGUUCAAUCCUCAGUCUGAUCA